CGUGACGUCAGCAGCUGUCACUCUAGCAGAACCUGUAAAAAGUUUUCACACCCUUUGAACUUUUCAUCAGACCGGAAGUGGAUCAGAACCAGGAAGUGGUUUCCAUCAUUUUACAGGUAAAAUCUGAAAAGUGCGGAGUGUGUCUUUUUUAAUGAGAAUCAGAACUCUGCGUUCUGAUCACCUCAGCUCUAGACUUUGACUAGGCCACCAACACUGUCCUCCUGCUGGAAGCUGAACUUUGACCCCAGGUUCUGCUCCCCCAGCAUGAUGCUGCCACCGCCAGGCUGGACAGGUUGAACUGGACCGUCUCUCUGAACGGUUCUGAUCCGGUUCUGAACGGCUUCCUGUUGCUCUGACCCUGAAUAUUCAUCAGAACCGAACCGAACGUUCCUCCCGGUUCCCCCGGUCCAGAUAAGAAGCGGACCGGUUCGGCCUCCAGCCUGACAUGAUGAUGAUGAUGAUGAUGAUGAUGAUGAUGAUGAUGAUGAUGAUGAUGAUGAUGAUGUGACCUUCCUCCUCCUCCCUCUUAAAGCGCCGCGGCGCCGCAGCGGCUCAGUCCGACCCGAACACCGAACCCUUCAUGGACCGAACCGCGCGGAGGUCCGCUGCUCUCUAACGACCCGAACCGAACCCGGACCAGUUCCUUCUGCGCCUGCGCCAUGCCGUCCGGCUCCAGAGGCAGAACCGGAUUCUCAGUGCGGGAUCUUCUGGACCUUCCGAACCCCGCUGGGGGAUCCGGGUCCGGAACCGAGGAGGAGAGCUCCAGGGAGGAACCGGAACCAGAACCGGACCCAGAACCGAAAUGUUGGAGCAGGUGGAGCCGAGCAGCAGAGUCCGGAACCGGCCGACCCGGUGAGCAUCCCGGCGCUGCGGCCCGGCUCGGUUCGGCCCAGAAGAACCGGAAGAGGCGGGUUCUGUUCUCCAAGGCGCAGACCUCGGAGCUGGAGCGCCGGUUCCGACAGCAGCGGUACCUGUCGGUUCCGGAGCGGGAGCACCUGGCGGGCCGGAUCCAGCUCACCCCGAACCAGGUCAAGAUCUGGUUCCAGAACCACCGAUACAAGAUGAAGCGCGCGCACGCGGAGCGCGGCCACGAGCCGCUGCAGCUGCUUCCGGCGCGCCGCGUCGGGAUCCCGCUGCUGGUUCGGGACGGGAAGCCGUCCGAACCGCUGGAGGUUCGGUCCGGGUUCGCCUUGCCGCUGUGCGCCUUCUCCCCGCUGCUGCGCGCCGCCUGCGGGCCGAACCGGACCGGACCGACCCCGCUCCUCUACCCCUGGAGCUGGACCUGAACCCAACCGGACCGAACUUUCCGCUCUGACUGUUUGGGUCCGCUCCGGGGCCCGGUUCGAAACGGUUCGGUCCAGUUCAGAGUGGAAAAUCUAAAACAUGAUCCAAAAAGAGCUGCUGUUCGGUUCCGACCCAGAUGAGCCUUUCUCAGGAGGAGAAGUUCGGAUCCAGAAACCAGGAGACUUCCUGCUGCAGGUCCAGUUCGGUACCAGAACCGGUCUGCUUCAACUGGAACUGCGGUGUCACCUGAACUCUUCCAGAACCGGUCCAAACGGAACCGACACCUUGCUGAGGAAGGGCGGGAAGCGGCAGGAUCCAGAACCUUCCCGCCCGGCAGCCGGUCCAGUUGUUCCGAUCCGGUUCUGGUUCCGGACCGUUUGUGUUUUUUCCUUCUGGUGCCCGCGGGUCAAAGGUCAGAGCGCAUUUCUGAAGAAAUGAAUAAUAAUGAUUGAUUAUUGAACAGGCCUAGUUAAAGGACGG